GCGGGCGCAGAAGGGGCUGGGCAGUUCGUCAGGUGCUGGGGGCCUGUGGCUCCAGGGAUUUCUGGGGGGGCGGGGUUUCCACCCUCUGCGGGCUGCACACCUAACCCCAGAAGGUCAGGGACUGAAAGCCAAUCACAGAAGGCCCAGGAGCCUUGGUGGGAGAAAGAAACGAACAGCCAUCAGUUCGUUGGAGAUGGAAUACGACGUUAACAUUAAGCGGCGGCCUGUCACGCCCCUCAGGCCAUGCUGCUGCUGCCUUGGUCCCGUUCCAGCUUCCACAAUACUGGCUUCGGGACCUGCCCUCGACUGUGACGCCCUGAGGUAGCCCAGACCUCAACCCCGUGGAGUCAUUCUUUACAUUCUUAAUUUUCUCAGACCUUGUGUGCAACCUGUUACCCAAUCCUGUCCACAUCACGUCCCAGAUAUAUCCUGAACUGACCCCUUCUCAUUCCCAGCCCCCCCCCGAUCAACGCUCCCACGUCCCAACUAGUCUGGUCCGAGGCACCAGCACCUCUUGCCUGGAUUAUUGCAAUGGCCUUUUAGGAAUUGUUGGGGUCUGUGCCUUAGACCUACCUUCCUAGAGUCGAUGCGCCACAAAAUCAGGAGCCUUUAAAUUUAAGAAAAUGUCUCUCCUCUGACCAGCCUCCUACAUUGGUUUCUAUCUCAGUCAGGGUAAAGACAAAGUCCUUAAAAAGGGCUCCAAAGCCCUGUCCCGGGGGCGGGGAGGCCUGAAUCUUGGGGACCUCUCCUCCUGCUGCCCUCCCUCCUGAUAACUCCACUCACCUCCUCUGCUGUCCACAGCACCCUCCGGACUCCCAGCUUGCAAUCCCGGCCUGGCUGCCAUCUGUGCCCAGAAUGUUCUUUCCCGCAUCAGCCACACCCUAUUCCCACCCGUCCUGUAACCCUCUCUAUCCACGCACUGUGCUUUAUCUUUCCCUUAGGGCCAAACGCUUUACAUGGUAGCUAUUGAAGGCUUUCUCAGUUGGCUCUUUGUAGGCGCGUAAGGCUGUGGUCCACAGACCCGUGUUUUACCGGCAAGAAGAGGGCGAUCCCUGCUCUAUGCUGUCAGGUUGUGUUCUUGCUUGUUUUGUUUCGCAGGCAGGUGAGGAGAGGGGACAGGAGUGAGACUGUCCUCUCUCUGUCUCCUAUGAAAAAUGGCAUGUUAGUCUCCUGGAAAGCUUUAUGAAGUUUGAAAUAUUAGUCAGCCACCAGGUGACAUUCAUCAGGCACGGCGGGACUGAAGUGAGACAGUGGGGGUGCCCGGGCCACCAACAUGCUGAAAGGCCACGUUGCUGGCCUGCUUCCCACACAAAAGCUGUGCCGUGGAUGAUCAAUAACAUCCUGAUUGGGGAGGAAGUUUUGGCAUCGAGCCUCCCGAGGAAGGAGGAGGCGGACACAGAGCAAAUGAUGAUUCUUUCCUGAUAGAAUUCUCCACAAGUAAAUCCUCCUUCCCAUUUAUUAGCCAACCGUCUGUGACAGGUGGGUCAGGAGGGAGAGGAGAGAUGUGUGAUUAAAUUCUGCUUUUCUGGCAACAUCGAA